GUUGAAAAUUCCAAACAUAUGUUGCCGCAUAUAAAUCAUUUUAUAACAGAAGACACGAGUAAGAGCCGUUAUAUCACCAGAGUAUAUGAGUUUAGCAAAGAAAGCAACAAUUAUAUUUUCUGUUCGUAUCUGUAUCCUCUAUUUCAUUUGAGCGUUGAAUGUUCACAAAAAAAUAAAAGGCGAAACUGACUUCAGGAGAAUGUGAAUGCUUAACAGCAUUUCGUCCAGUUUACUAACGAAUCUGUCACCUAGCUGCCUUACAGUUACAUAACAUCAAAUGAAUUUCUUUCAUCAUAGAAGCAUAUACAUGGAUGGUGUACAGGGUUAUUUAUAUCUCACCCAGCAAUUUUAUAUUAUUGCCUCGAAAUUAUUUGUGGUACCAAAUAUAAAUCUCAAAUAUGAUGCCGUAGAAGAGCGUCAGUAAUUAUUAGAAGUUCCUUUAAACUGUUAUGUAUUAUAACUAUGAUAAUUUUAAUAUCAGUUAUCAGUAACAAUGCAUAUCAAAUUUUUAAUACUAGGGAAAUCGUAUACGAAGACAAAGACAUCGGUAGGCAUUUAUAACAUUUAUUAACUGAAUUUCAAUGUAAUAUGAAAAUACACAGCAUAUUGGGAAGAUCAGUAAGUAAAUAAAUUUUAAUUCAAUUUCGAAAAGAAAAUGUUGAUAGUUGAACAGACAUCAGCAAUGGACCAACUAUCAUAAAUAGAACACCGGGAAAACUGUGGUCAUUUCACAAUGCUAACUCCAAAUAAUCGUAGCAACACAAUAUUUAGUUAAAUAUACGUUGCUACUACAGCGAGAAUUACAAAA